rnacentral:rRNA from 1 species
AUGAUGGGCAUCGUCUACCGGCUACCACGACCUCAAGCCAGCCGUCGCCGAGGAGGAGGAACAGGAGGAGCCGCGCAGCGCGUCCUGCUUCCCGAUACGUUUCAAGCGGCGGAGGCAUCGUCGCCGGUGCGCGGCGUGCCGGCGUCUCCCCUGCGGUUUGUGGCGGAGCCGGUGUCUGCGCGGUCGUGCUCAUUCGUCGGCACGCACGAGUACGUGGCUCCGGAGGUGGCAGGCGGCGGCGCGCACGGCGCCGCCGUGGACUGCUCUGCAACAUCGUCCGUGCCGCUCACCUUCCCCUCCUCCUCCGUCACCGGCUGCCACGCCGACACCACCGCGGCGCGGGACCUCAUCACGCGCCUGCUCACCAAGGACCCCGCCGCUCGCCUCGGGUCCCGCCACGGCGCCGCCGACGUGAACGCCCGCCCCUUCUUCAAGAACCUCAACUUCGCGCUCCUCCGGUCAUUGCGUCCGCCCGUCGUCCCCAGCGCUCCGCUGCACCGGUCGCAGUCGUGCAAGAUGCCGGCGUCGCGCAAGGCUGACACGAAGCGCUUCGACCUCUUCUGA